UCCGAAAACUUGCAUCUUUCGAUUGAUGGACAAAUGCAUUAACCAAUGGAAAUCAAAACCCAGGCAUUACUUCAUCAUGCUAAAUUAUCAUUGGCUGCCAGUCCCCGAGGGCCGGACCGCAGGGCUGGCGGUUAACCCUUUCAGGGAUGAUUUUUGCCCUCGACAAUUUUAUUUUGAAAGAUGAAGUAGGAACAGAUGAAAAGCCUAGAUAGGUCCUCAGACCUUCAAGUGUCGCCUUUGGAUCUCACCCCAGCAGAUUUGGUGAGCUAGACGACCUUGGACAAGGUGCCCAAACCGAGCCUCAGUUAUCCCAUCUAUAAAAUGGGGGUCAUGUCUACCAUCUAAGAGUUCUAUGAGGAUUCAAUGAACCAGUGUUCUACAACCGGGCGGUUGACUGCAUCCCAGAUCCACGAGAUCUGCUGGGCAGAAACCGAGGGAGCCAGCUGUCAUCGCCCGCAGCUGAGGCCUGAGAACGCGCACCCUGCGUGCUCGCCGCGGACCCCCUUGUCUGGGAGGCCGCUAUCUGCACGUGAACUGGGCUUCCCCAGGGCGAGGCGACAUAUCAUGGUCACUUGCCACUUGCUAUCCCAGCUUAAGGGCCUGGAGUCCCGACACCCGGAGCCGAAGGGGGCGGGGCACAGAGCGGGCUGUGGGGGCGGGGCAGGGGCCGGUAGGCACCCCCAGAAUAACCUCCUGUGCCUUAGACUUCUGCUCCCUACCUCGGGAAUCCAUUCGUCAGCCUGCACCUUGACAUCAACCUCUGCAUCCGCGUCUCCCACCGCUAAUCGUGCUUAAUGUAUGCCCUGGGCACCGCCAGGACCGGUCAGCAUAAUUUUGGGAGUCCUCACUUGCCUGGGUCAACUUACCCGCCUGCUCGAAAAGUUGGAUGCUCCUUCCAGAGUCCCGACUUCUCAGCCUGGGAGCUGUGUGCUGUGGAUAAGUGACUUCACCAAGUGAAUCUCAUUAUCAUUUCUACGGUGGGAAAAUAAUAGAUGUUUGGGAGAAUGAAAUGAGACCACAGAAACCCCAGUCAUUACGCGCCGUAGUUCCCUUUUCUGCUUUCGUUUUCUCUGUAGCACUGGUCACCAUAUAUCACAUUUUAUUUGUUGUUUUCUCCUCCCACUAGGAUGACAACGCCACAAAGUAGCAAUUUUAAUCUCUUUUGUCCACCUCUGUAACCCCACACAUGUCAAUUAGAGCUUGGCCCACGAGAGUCUCAGUAAAUAUUUGUUGAAUAAAUGAAUGGAUGAUAUAAAGUGACUGGCGCUCAGUAAGUACCCCAUCAUGGGGUAGCUAUUGCUAAUUUAUUAUUGUGAUUAAGUACUCUGUCUCGGGAGUCCAACUGAAAGCAGUAUAAUAAGGGAGGGAGAAAUUUAGCAUCAUGGUAGGAUGUUGGCAUUCUGGCUGAGAAAUCCUGUCGGCUCCAUUUACUAGCUGUGUGAUCUGGAAGAAGUGACUUCACUUUUCUAAGGCUGUUUCCUCACCUGUAAAAUGGAGGUAAUCACAGUGCCUCCCUGGUAGGAUGCGAAGGUAGGAUAAGAUGGUAACGGUAAAGCAUUUAGUAGAGUGCCUGCCGCAUAAUAAAUGCUCAAUAAACAAUGAUCAGCAUUCCUCAUUAUAGUAGUACUCACACUAGAGGUGACAUCUAAGUCAAUUAAACCAUUGCUAAGCACUCACAUAUGUCCGGGUCUAGCAGGCUCAAUAAAUGUUUAUUGACCUCCCUCUGUGAGCUCCUCAAGGAAAGAGAUUGUGUUUACAUUGUCCUGAUUUUGGCCUGCAGUAGGUAGACAGAGACAUGCUCCAAAAAAAUCAUAUUCUAGACUCAAAUAUGAGUAAAAACGUAGAACAGCUACUAGAUUCAUAAUGCCCGUGGCCUACUAGGUGCCAGGCACAGUGUUGGAUGCUGGAGAUAUGGCAACAAGCUUAAAACAAACAUGGUGGCUACCCCUUUCAGGCUGGUGAAACUUCACACAGUUGACUGACUUUGUGUCGAUCGUUGCUCAGACAGAUGGAACAUUGCAACUGCGAAGUGUAUCACAACAGAGAGGGACACAAGGCUCUGGGGUAUAUAAUGUGGGUCUGGAGAAGAUGGGAUUGACCUGGGCUGGGCUUGAGGAGGGAAGAGCUGAGCGCUGUGGAAAGCAGAGGUCUUAGCUAGGCUGAGAGUAGGGGAAGUGUUCUCAGCAGAAAAAAUAGCAGAUGCGAAGGUCUCGUGAUGGGGGAGCAUAUGAGCUAAAGGAACUGAAAGAAGGCCUAGUGACCCCAGUACAGUGAGCUGAGGGCAGGGGCCCGGGGAGAAAUCAACUGGGAAAGUAAGUCAGCACUUUGGAAAUUAAGUGGGCCAUGUAUAUGGUAAAGCAGAAGGAGUGUGCAACCUAGAAUCCAACAGUUCCAGUUCUAGGAACAUUCUAGAAAAUUAGCCACGAGGGCCCCGGGAGGCAUGAGUGAGGAUGUCAGCCCGCGCUGCAUUAUAUGCAGUCUCAAAAA